rnacentral:rRNA from 1 species
GACGAACGCUGGCGGCGUGCUUAACACAUGCAAGUCGAACGGAAAGGCCCUGCUUUUGUGGGGUGCUCGAGUGGCGAACGGGUGAGUAACACGUGAGUAACCUGCCCUUGACUUUGGGAUAACUUCAGGAAACUGGGGCUAAUACCGGAUAGGAGCUCCUGCUGCAUGGUGGGGGUUGGAAAGUUUCGGCGGUUGGGGAUGGACUCGCGGCUUAUCAGCUUGUUGGUGGGGUAGUGGCUUACCAAGGCUUUGACGGGUAGCCGGCCUGAGAGGGUGACCGGCAACAUGGGGACAGAAAUACGGCCAGGAAUCAGAGGGGAGGCGGAAGUGGGGAUGAGUGCACAUGGGGGGGAGCCUGGAUGCAGAAGCGCCGGGGGGGGGAGAGGGGCCGUGGGUUGUAAACCCGUUUUCGCCGGUAAAAAGGGGUGAGAGAGGAUAAGGGGUAAAAAGGCCCCGGCUAACUACGGC